rnacentral:rRNA from 1 species
UACGAGGGGGGCAAGCGUUGUUCGGAAUUACUGGGCGUAAAGCGCGUGUAGGCGGUUGCCCAAGUCGGGUGUGAAAGCCUUGAGCUCAACUCAAGAAAUGCACUCGGUACUGGGUGACUAGAGGACCGGAGAGGAUAGUGGAAUUCCCAGUGUAGUGGUGAAAUACGUAGAGAUUGGGAAGAACACCAGUGGCGAAGGCGGCUAUCUGGACGGUUUCUGACGCUAAGACGCGAAAGCGUGGGGAGCAAACAGG